UGCUUUAGGGAUCUUUAAUUUCUCGG
rnacentral:miRNA from 1 species